rnacentral:rRNA from 1 species
UGGGGAAUAUUGCACAAUGGAGGGAACUCUGAUGCAGCGACGCCGCGUGAACGAAGAAGGCUUUCGAGCCGUAAAGUUCUUUUAUAUGGGAAGAUAAUGACGGUACCAUAAGAAAAAGCCCCGGCUAACUACGUGCCAGCAGCCGCGGUAAUACGUAGGGGGCUAGCGUUGUCCGGAAUCACUGGGCGUAAAGGGUUCGCAGGCGGAAAUGCAAGUCAGGUGUAAAAGGCAGUAGCUUAACUACUGUGAGCAUUUGAAACUGCAUAUCUUGAGAAGAGUAGAGGUAAGUGGAAUUUUUAGUGUAGCGGUGAAAUGCGUAGAUAUUAAAAAGAAUACCGGUGGCGAAGGCGACUUACUGGGCUCAUUCUGACGCUGAGGAACGAAAGCGUGGGUAGCAAACAGG